rnacentral:rRNA from 1 species
UAAUACCGCAUAUGCUCUACGGAGGAAAGCCGGGGAUCCGCAAGGACCUGGCGUUAUGGGAGCGGCCGAUGUCCGAUUAGCUAGUUGGUGGGGUAAAGGCUUACCAAGGCGACGAUCGGUAGCUGGUCUGAGAGGAUGAUCAGCCACACUGGGACUGAGACACGGCCCAGACUCCUACGGGAGGCAGCAGUGGGGAAUUUUGGACAAUGGGGGCAACCCUGAUCCAGCCAUGCCGCGUGCGGGAAGAAGGCCUUCGGGUUGUAAACCGCUUUUAGUCGGGAAGAAAAGGGCGAGGCUAAUACCUUCGUCACUUGACGGUACCGGCGGAAUAAGCACCGGCUAACUACGUGCCAGCAGCCGCGGUAAUACGUAGGGUGCGAGCGUUAAUCGGAAUUACUGGGCGUAAAGCGUGCGCAGGCGGUUCGUUAAGUUCGUUGUAAAGCCCCGGGCUCAACCUGGGAACUGCAAUGGAAACUGGCGGGCUAGAGUAGGC